rnacentral:rRNA from 1 species
UACGGGGGGGGCAAGCGUUGUUCGGAAUUACUGGGCGUAAAGGGCGCGUAGGCGGCCAACUAAGUCGGACGUGAAAUCCCUCGGCUUAACCGGGGAAUGGCGUCCGAUACUGGAUGGCUCGAGUGUGGGAGAGGGAUGCGGAAUUCCAGGUGUAGCGGUGAAAUGCGUAGAUAUCUGGAGGAACACCGGUGGCGAAGGCGGCAUCCUGGACCACGACUGACGCUGAGGAGCGAAAGCCAGGGGAGCAAACGGG